UGUUUCGCGCAUGUGGUAUAUGCUUUUAUAGCAAUCAUCACCCUUUACUGGACAAGUCGCUUCUCGAAACUGUGUGAAAAAUAUUGAACUAAUCAAUGCUGUGUUUACUGACAGGCAACUUGAUCUAGUCCAGUUUAGUGUUAGAUCGUACGCCGCUUUAGCAUGCUCGAUCCAGACUUGUGGACAGUUUUACGGUCGCCUUUUCGUCGUGUACCUUGUGAAUUUAAUUAUUAUGAAAAGUUAACUUCAAGCGUUUGAAGUGUAAGUAUGCCUCAUUUUUGGGAGCAUUUCAGCGAUAGGAGUGAAGACAAGCAUAGAAAUCUGCAGGAUGGUCUCUUUCAGAUUGCGUCCCAAACGUGCAGUCUGUUUGUACACAUCAACAACACGAACAAUAUCAGCUAUGGCAAUAAUACUGCGAAUAUUCACGUGAACGGCGCGGGAACUUCAUAUAAAACGAAUCAUCAAUAUGCCCCAAGUUCUAAAACGGCAUCGACCAGCCAAGCCAGUAGAGAUAGAGAACAGCUUGUAGUCCUAAUUCCGCCCAGUCCAGACUCAGAAAGAAAAAGGUCUCCAUCGCAUUACCGAAGUGGAUUCGCAAAUAAGCCUCGAUUAUCGGUAAUUUUUUCUGACUUUUAUGAAAUUAAACGUAUGUUCUUCAGCUUUUUUACUAACAAUUAUCAUAUAUACUUUUCCGUUUACAUCCUUGAAUGUUGCAAAUGGUUGGCAAAAGCUACAAGGUGUCCUAUUUUUUAUUAAUCUUGGUUACUUCUUCCCGAACUUUUUAUGGUUUUUAAGUUUUCGGCUAAAAGCUUCUGGUUUUAUAAAGGAGCUAGUAACCUAGCUAUUCUCGAUUAUUUUCUGUUUGAUACUGCAGAUACAGGAUUCUUCAACAUGGGCGUUUUUUUUUUGUAUAACUUUGUUAUUAAGCAUUAUUUUCAAAUUGUCCCAUGUUUAAUUGGUAGCAUGGAAUACUUAAGCAUCUGAGAGAUCUAGGAAAAUUACGAUCUUUGCUUCAAAUUACACUUUAAUACUAUCAAAAAACUUAUCUUCUACAGUUAUAUACUAUAGUUAUGGGGAAAUGCACAGUAACAUAGCAGAAGCUGUAAUAAUUUACGCCAACAAAGGGCUACAGACACUGGAACAUAGUGAACGACAAUAGAUGUUCGGGCUCCAGACAGAG
rnacentral:lncRNA from 1 species